AUUGAACGCUGGCGGCAUGCCUUACACAUGCAAGUCGAACGGCAGCACGGGAGCAAUCCUGGUGGCGAGUGGCGAACGGGUGAGUAAAGUAUCGGAACGUGCCCAGUCGUGGGGGAUAACGUAGCGAAAGUUACGCUAAUACCGCAUACGAUCUAUGGAUGAAAGCGGGGGAUCGCAAGACCUCGCGCGAUUGGAGCGGCCGAUAUCAGAUUAGGUAGUUGGUGGGGUAAAGGCUCACCAAGCCGACGAUCUGUAGCUGGUCUGAGAGGACGACCAGCCACACUGGGACUGAGACACGGCCCAGACUCCUACGGGAGGCAGCAGUGGGGAAUUUUGGACAAUGGGCGCAAGCCUGAUCCAGCCAUGCCGCGUGCAGGAUGAAGGCCUUCGGGUUGUAAACUGCUUUUGUACGGAACGAAAAGGUUUGGCUUAAUACGUUGAACUCAUGACGGUACCGUAAGAAUAAGCACCGGCUAACUACGUGCCAGCCGCCGCGAUAA
rnacentral:rRNA from 1 species